rnacentral:rRNA from 1 species
UGGGGAAUUUUGCGCAAUGGGCGAAAGCCUGACGCAGCGACGCCGCGUGUACGAUGAAGGCCUUUGGGUCGUAAAGUACUGUCAACGGGGACGAACGCCUGAGAUUGAAUAGGUCUGAGGUCUGACGGUACCCGUGGAGGAAGCACCGGCUAACUCUGUGCCAGCAGCCGCGGUAAUACAGAGGGUGCAAACGUUGCUCGGAAUGACUGGGCGUAAAGCGCGCGCAGGUGGCCCGUUAAGUUGGCUGUGAAAUCCCCUGGCUCAACCAGGGAAGUGCAGUCGAUACUGGCGGGCUCGAGUCCCGGAGAGGGUGGUAGAAUUCCCAGUGUAGAGGUGAAAUGCGUAGAUAUCAGGAAGAACACCGGUGGCGAAAGCGCUCUGCUAGGCCGCAACUGACACUGAGGGACGAAAGCUAAGGGAGCGAAUGGGAUUAGAUACCCCCGUAGUCC